rnacentral:rRNA from 1 species
AGCAGCCGCGGUAAUUCCAGCUCCAAUAGCGUAUAUUAAAGUUGUUGCAGUUAAAAAGCUCGUAGUUGAAUUUUAGGCCUGGCCGGGCGGUCCGUCUUUGGCGAGUACUGUUCUGUGUCGGGUCUUACCUUCUGGUGAACCGGUAUGUUCUUGAUUGUGUGUACCGGGGAGCCAGGACCAUUACCUUGAAAAAAAUUAGAGUGUUUAAAGCGGGCAUUUGCUUGAAUAGAUUAGCAUGGAAUAAUAGAAUAGGACGUUGGUUCUAUUUUGUUGGUCUAGGACCACCGUAAUGAUUAAUAGGGAUAGUUGGGGGCAUUAGUAUUCAAUUGUCAGAGGUGAAAUUCUUGGAUUUAUUGAAGACUAACUAUUGCGAAAGCAUUUGCCAAGGAUGUUUUCAUUAAUCAAGAACGAAAGUUAGGGGAUCGAAGACGAUCAGAUACCGUCGUAGUC